GGGCCCGCACAAGCGGUGGAGCAUGUUGUUUAAUUCGAAGCAACGCGCAGAACCUUACCUGGAUUUGACAUCUCGGGAAUCUUCCUGAAAAGGAAGAGUGCCUUCGGGAAUGCAGAUACAGGUGGUGCAUGGCUGUCGUCAGCUCGUGUCGUGAGAUGUUGGGUUAAGUCCCGCAACGAGCGCAACCCUUAUUUUUAGUUACCAACUUGUUGGGCUUUCUAGAAAGACUGCCGGUGACAAACCGGAGGAAGGUGAGGAUGACGUCAAGUCAGCAUGCCCCUUAUGUCCUGGGCCACACACGUGCUACAAUGGUUAGGACAAAGAGUCGCAAGUUUGUAAAAACAAGCUAAUCUCGUAAACCUAGCCUAAGUUCAGAUUGUAGGCUGCAACUCGCCUACAUGAAGUUGGAAUCGCUAGUAAUCGC
rnacentral:rRNA from 1 species